rnacentral:rRNA from 1 species
UACGUAGGGUGCAAGCGUUAAUCGGAAUUACUGGGCGUAAAGCGUGCGCAGGCGGUUAUGUAAGACAGAUGUGAAAUGCCCGGGCUUAACCGGGGAACUGCGUCCGAUACUGGAUGGCUUGAGUUCGGGAGAGGGAUGCGGAAUUCCAGGUGUAGCGGUGAAAUGCGUAGAUAUCUGGAGGAACACCGGUGGCGAAGGCGGCAUCCUGGACCGACACUGACGCUGAGGAGCGAAAGCCAGGGGAGCAAACAGG